rnacentral:tRNA from 1 species
GGAUUCGUAGCCCAAUGGAAGAGCGCCCGACUGUUAAUCGGGAGGUUGCAGGUUCGAGCCCUGCUGAAUCCG